rnacentral:lncRNA from 1 species
ACACGCAGUAAAAUCCUCCAAAAUCAAAUACAGCUGCUUCUGCUCCUCCUGGAAGGUGAUGAGAAGCCCCGGAGGAGAGCUGCCCUGGCAUCUGGCUUUGACCUUAGGAUGGGCGUGACCUUAGGAUGGGCGUGACCUUGGGAAGCCGUGAGAUCUCCC